rnacentral:lncRNA from 1 species
GCGGAGGCAAGGUAGCUUGCUCGCCUCUUCCUUCUCUGACAAAAAAGUUGUUUCUCUGACAAAAAGUUUGAUUGCUUUUGCAGAAAGCCUGCCGAGCCAUGCGUUCCCUCUGCAGGGGACGGGGAGCUUCGCUGGGCGCGCUUGAGUCCGAGCUGGACAUGAAUCUCGGGUACUGAAGGAUGGGGCUACUCGCCAUGUCACUGCAUAUUACAUGCUAUGCAGAAGCUCAGGACACGCCUUUCACAUAUCUGCAUUUAGAAUGUUUGUACUACAGUGGAGUAGCAAAUACGAGCGUCUACAGACAUGGUCAAUGCUGACAGGGCUAAUUUAAGCAGUUGGUGCCUGGUGGUUUGGUGCCGUGGUCAGCUCGCCACCGUUGGCGAACCAUAUACUCAUACUUAUAUAUUCACACAACAAACCAAUAAAAACUGUCCUGUGAUCGGUAAAUUCGAUUAUCCAAAUAUAUUUUCAAUAAAUGUUUUCUUUAACGGGGGGAUUGGGAGUAAAGGUGGACAGCUUCAGAACAUCCCUGAAAUUCAGAAAGCGACGAGAAAAGAGGUUAAGAAAACAAGCGAUGUCAUCAGCUUGCAGCACUAGCGCAUAGACGGUGUGCUGUGUGCAUAGCGUAGAAGUAACAGCCAGCAGCUUUGUUAACCCUCGUUGUCAUGCUUAAAUUAAGCAUAAAAGAAACAAUUUAUUACAAAUUCAAAAAUAUUUUAAUGGUCUAAAAGUAAUACUAGAA